rnacentral:rRNA from 1 species
GACGAACGCUGGCGGCGUGCCUAAUACAUGCAAGUAGAACGCACAGUUUAUACCGUAGCUUGCUACACCAUAGACUGUGAGUUGCGAACGGGUGAGUAACGCGUAGGUAACCUGCCUGGUAGCGGGGGAUAACUAUUGGAAACGAUAGCUAAUACCGCAUAAUAUUGAUUAUUGCAUGAUAAUUGAUUGAAAGAUGCUAUUGCAUCACUACCAGAUGGACCUGCGUUGUAUUAGCUAGUAGGUGAGGUAACGGCUCGCCUAGGCGACGAUACAUAGCCGACCUGAGAGGGUGAUCGGCCACACUGGGACUGAGACACGGCCCAGACUCCUACGGGAGGCAGCAGUAGGGAAUCUUCGGCAAUGGACGAAAGUCUGACCGAGCAACGCCGCGUGAGGGAAGAAGGUUUUCGGAUCGUAAAGCUCUGUUGUAAGAGAAGAACGGGUGUGAGAGUGGAAAGUUCACACUGUGACGGUAUCUUACCAGAAAGGGACGGCUAACUACGUG